AUGGCGUUGGCCGCGGCCGCGCGCAGAAGCCUCGCAUCCGGUGGCCUCUCCGGUCCCCUCGCCCGCCGCCUCCAUCCGUCACUCCCUCAACUGCUUCCAUCCAACUCCACCGGCGAUCCUCGAAAACCCUCGACCCUUCCACCCCCACCCGCACCACGACCGUUUCACUUCGCGCUCGCCCCUCGCGGGACAUCCCAAACCCUAAGCUCCCCCCCAUUCGGUCUUCACCUCCUCCCCGGGCCAUCCCGCCGCAGCUUCUCCUCUUCCUGCGACACCGGCUUCACCGACACCACCACCGAUUCCGCAGCGUCCGCGGCGGCCCCGGCGAGCUUCCCCGGCGAGGUGGCAUGGGCCGCGGAGGACUCAUCAAUGGCCGUCGCGGCGGUGCAGCAUCUCAUCGACGCGGUCCAUUCCUUCACCGGUCUGAACUGGUGGAUUUCUAUUGCUCUCUCCACAGUGCUGCUACGCUGUGGGAUGUUCACAAUUGCGAUGCUUGUCAGGAAACGCCUAUAUGGGAUGCGUCAGGAGCUGUUUCAAUACCUCAAGUUGGUAAAGGAUUCCAAGGGUAAAAAAUCAAUACAAGAACUUGCAGAUGCAGGGGAUCCUUUGGUCAGAAAUCUUGGUUUUCUGCCAAUUCUUCAAUUCAUUGCGACGCCGUAUACCUUUGUAACUCUUUACAGUGCUAUAUCAAACAUGGUUGAGAAAGUUCCAUCUUUAAAAGGGGGUGGAGCUUUAUGGUUUACUGAUCUGACGACUCCUGAUGCUCUUUGCAUCUUUCCCAUGAUAACAUCACUGUUCAUCAUGCUUCGCUUUGAGGUCAACUAUGGUGUUGCAGCAAAACGUACAGAACACUCUCGCAAGAUGGAAGAUAAUGCAAGGCAGGUUGUGAGAGCAAUGUCUCUUCUACCUAUGCUGUGGACAGCUACCCUUCCUCAGGCGAUUUCUUGUUCCUUGGUCACCUGGAGCGGUCUGACUCUUGCAGGAAGGAUAGUUCUUAAGCAUCCAGAUGUGCAGAAAGUACUAUACGGUGGCUCCUUUCUACUAAAACAAGAAUGUUCCUCUUCCAAUGGACAGAAGGGCCCGACUGCUGAAGAUUCCCCGCCUCCUGUCAAAGAAGAGGAAGAACCAGUUUCUCCAGAGACAAAGAAAUCUUCCGAUGCCAGCGUUCACAUAGACGAGUCUGACAAGAAAUCGACCAAAGACGGUUAA
rnacentral:rRNA from 1 species